CAGCCGCCGCGGGAAUACGGAGGGGGCUAGCGUUGUUCGGAAUUACUGGGCGUAAAGCGCACGUAGGCGGCUUGGUAAGUUAGAGGUGAAAGCCCGGAGCUCAACUCCGGAAUUGCCUUUAAGACUGCCGAGCUAGUAGGUGAGAGAGGUAAGUGGAAUUCCGAGUGUAGAGGUGAAAUUCGUAGAUAUUCGGAAGAACACCAGUGGCGAAGGCGGCUCACUGGACCGUUGUUGACGCUGAGGUGCGAAAGCGUGGAGAGCAAACAGGAUUAGAUACCCCCGUAGUCCCUGUCUCUUAUAC
rnacentral:rRNA from 1 species